CCUACGGGAGGCAGCAGUGGGGAAUAUUUCGCAAUGGGCGAAAGCCUGACGCCGCGACGCCGCGUGAGGGAUGAAGGUCUUCGGAUCGUAAACCUCUUUCAGCAGGGAAGAACGGUCACUGUGCUAAUCAGCAGUGAAUUGACGGUACCUGCAAAGGAAGCACCGGCUAACUCCGUGCCAGCAGCCGCGGUAAUACGGAGGGUGCGAGCGUUAAUCGGAAUUACUGGGCGUAAAGCGCUCGUAGGCGGUAUGUCAAGUCAAGGGUGAAAUCCCCGCGCUCAACGUGGGAACUGCCUUUGAAACUGGCAAACUGGAGUGUGUGAGAGGAUAGUGGAAUUCCAGGUGUAGGAGUGAAAUGCGUAGAUAUCUGGAGGAACAUCAGUGGCGAAGGCGACUAUCUGGCACAUAACUGACGCUGAGGAGCGAAAGCGUGGGUAGCAAACAGGAUUAGAUACCCUAGUAGUC
rnacentral:rRNA from 1 species